GCCGUCGUGGCGCAAUGGUAGCGCAUCGCCUUCCUAAGGCGGGGGUUGCGGGUUCGAGCCCCGUCGUCGGUA
rfam:Peniophora sp. CONT PENSPscaffold_58_Cont105, whole genome shotgun sequence.